UACGUAGGGGGCUAGCGUUGUCCGGAAUCAUUGGGCGUAAAGCGCGCGUAGGCGGCUUUGCAAGUCGGGUGUGAAAUCCCCAGGCUUAACCUGGGAACUGCAUUCGAGACUGCAUUGCUCGAGUAUGGGAGAGGGAAGUGGAAUUUCCGGUGUAGCGGUGAAAUGCGUAGAUAUCGGAAGGAACAUCAGUGGCGAAGGCGACUUCCUGGACCAAUCUGACGCUCAGGUGCGAAAGCGUGGGGAGCAAACAGG
rnacentral:rRNA from 1 species